rnacentral:rRNA from 2 species
AGCAUAGCGAUUUGGGAUAAGUCCCUUGGAAGAGGGCAGCAUGGAGGGUGAUACUCCCGUCUCUGCUCAGGUUGUCUGUGUGUACGAUACGCUUUCUUUGAGUCGAGUUGUUUGGGAAUACAGCUCAAAGCAGGUGGUAAAUUCCAUCUAAAGCUAAAUAUUGGUGCGAGACCGAUAGCGAACAAGUACCGUGUGGGAAAGAUGAAAAGAACUUUGAAAAGAGAGUUAAAGAGUACCUGAAACUGUUGAAAGGGAACCGUAUCGUUUCUAGUGUGUAUCCUAUGCAUAUUUCAUUGGCGGUUGUAAAAUUGCUGGUGCCCUGUGUAUGGGUGUGACGUCAGAGUCAGUUUGAAUUGCGGGAGAUGGGUAGUGAGGAGGUGCGUCACUUUUUGUGAAAGUUACAGCUCGCUAUCUAGUAGCCGUGGUUGAGACUGAGGUGCC